rnacentral:rRNA from 1 species
AGAGUUUGAUCCUGGCUCAGAAUGAACGCUGGCGGCGUGCUUAACACAUGCAAGUCGAGCGAAAAAGCCUCUUCGGAGGUAAGUAAAGCGGCGGACGAGUGAGUAAUACGUAAGAACCUACCCUUUUGUGAAGAAUACCUCUGAGAAAUUGGGGUUAAUACUGCAUAAGUCCCUACGGGGAGAAAGGCAACUUCAUGUUGUCGCUGAAGGAUGGGCUUGCGGGCUAUCAGCUAGUUGGUGAGGUAACGGCUCACCAAGGCUAUGACGGCUAACCGGCCUGAGAGGGUGUACGGUCACGUUGGAACUGAGAUACGGUCCAAACUCCUACGGGAGGCAGCAGUGAGGAAUAUUGCGCAAUGGGCGAAAGCCUGACGCAGCGACGCCGCGUGGAGGAUGAAGGUCUUAGGAUUGUAAACUCCUGUCAAGUGGGAAGAAAGACCUGUGGGUAAUAUACAUAGGGGAUGACGGUACCACUAUGAGAGCC